GACGAACGCUGGCGGCGUGCUUAACACAUGCAAGUCGAACGGUGAAGCGCCUUCCUUUUUGGUGGGUGUGGAUGAGUGGCGAACGGGUGAGUAACACGUGAGUAACCUGCCCCCUUCUUCUGGAUAACCGCAUGAAAGUGUGGCUAAUACGGGAUAUUCUGGGUCUGUCGCAUGAUGGGUCUGGGAAAGAUAUUGUUUCGGUGGGGGAUGGGCUCGCGGCCUAUCAGCUUGUUGGUGGGGUGAUGGCCUACCAAGGCGGUGACGGGUAGCCGGCCUGAGAGGGUGGACGGUCACACUGGGACUGAGACACGGCCCAGACUCCUACGGGAGGCAGCAGGGGGGAAUAUGGCACAAUGGGCGCAAGCCUGAUGCAGCGACGCCGCGUGAGGGAUGGAGGCCUGCGGGUUGUGAACCUCUUUCGCCAGUGAAGCAGGCCUGCCUCGUUUGUGGGUGGGUUGACGGUAGCUGGAUAAGAAGCGCCGGCUAACUACGUG
rnacentral:rRNA from 1 species